GUGUGUGUGUGUGUGUGUGUGUGUGUAUGUGUGUGUAUGUGUGUGUAUAUAUAUAUAUAUAUAUAUAUACACACACACACACACACACACACACAUAUAUGUACACACACACACUGUAUAUA